GCCAGGCACAGCAGCGCAUGCCUGUAAUCCCAGCAACUCAGGAGGCUGAGGCAGGAGGACUGUGAGUUCAAAGCCAGCCUCAG
rnacentral:sRNA from 1 species